rnacentral:rRNA from 1 species
GACGAACGCUGGCGGCGUGCUUAACACAUGCAAGUCGAACGGAAAGGCCCUGCUUUUGUGGGGUGCUCGAGUGGCGAACGGGUGAGUAACACGUGAGUAACCUGCCCUUGACUUUGGGAUAACUUCAGGAAACUGGGGCUAAUACCGGAUAGGAGCUCCUGCUGCAUGGUGGGGGUUGGAAAGUUUCGGCGGUUGGGGAUGGACUCGCGGCUUAUCAGCUUGUUGGUGGGGUAGUGGCUUACCAAGGCUUUGACGGGUAGCCGGCCUGGGAGGGUGACCGGCCACAUUGGGACUGAGAUACGGCCCAGACUCCUACGGGAGGCAGCAGUGGGGAAUAUUGCACAAUGGGCGGAAGCCUGAUGCAGCAACGCCGCGUGCGGGAUGACGGCCUUCGGGUUGUAAACCGCUUUCGCCUGUGACGAAGCGUGAGUGACGGUAAUGGGUAAAGAAGCACCGGCUAACUACGUGCCAGCAGCCGCCGUAA